rnacentral:rRNA from 1 species
CCUACGUGAGGCAGCAGUAGGGAAUCUUCCACAAUGGGCGAAAGCCUGAUCGAGCAACGCCGCGUGGGUGAAGAAGGUCUUCGGAUCGUUAAACCCUGUUGUUAGAGAAGAAAGUGCGUGAGAGUAACUGUUCACGUUUCGACGGUAUCUAACCAGAAAGCCACGGCUAACUACGUGCCAGCAGCCGCGGUAAUACGUAGGUGGCAAGCGUUCUCCGGAUUUAUUGGGCGUAAAGGGAACGCAGGCGGUCUUUUAAGUCUGAUGUGAAAGCCUUCGGCUUAACCGGAGUAGUGCAUUGGAAACUGGGAGACUUGAGUGCAGAAGAGGAGAGUGGAACUCCAUGUGUAGCGGUGAAAUGCGUAGAUAUAUGGAAGAACACCAGUGGCGAAGGCGGCUCUCUGGUCUGUAACUGACGCUGAGGUUCGAAAGCGUGGGUAGCAAACAGGAUUAGAUACCCGAGUAGUC